rnacentral:lncRNA from 1 species
GAGACUUUUAACAGUUUCCCCCUAAAGACAAGUUUCAGACUCAGGGCUACCCUUCCCUGACGCUUUGAUCAACCAUAUCCAUUUCUCUGAGUGUACGAUUUUACUUGGGAAUUUUUUUCACGUUUAAGGGUUAAUUUUUUUGACUAAACUGAACCAAGAAGAACAGAAAACAGACUGAUGUUGGAGCGCCCUCUGCUGUUUGAUGGAAGUUGUGACAGGGAUUCCACACAGAGAAAUAUUGUCCUAAUGCUGGACCAUAAUGUACUUUAAGGAAAAUGGCAACUUACAACUGAUGUUUCACCCAGCACCUAGAAGAAUUGUGAAAACACGGGUGCCCGAUGCUUGAAGUGACACGUGCAUCCCAUGCUGCCGAGAGGCCGAGCUUCUAGUAUCCAUCCAAGCAUAUUUUUGGUGGAAAUACAUGAAACCUGAUUGACUGUACUUUUGAGAAACCAUACAAGAAAUAAUCGGCUGUCAAA